rnacentral:rRNA from 1 species
CCUACGGGUGGCAGCAGUGGGGAAUAUUGGGCAAUGGACGCAAGCCUGACCCAGCAACGCCGCGUGAAGGAAGAAGGCCCUCGGGUUGUAAACUUCUUUUAUUAGGGACGAAACAAAUGACGGUCCCUGAUUAAUAAGCCACGGCUAACUACGUGCCAGCAGCCGCGGUAAUACGUAGGUGGCAAGCGUUAUCCGGAUUUACUGGGUGUAAAGGGCGGGUAGGCGGGGGAGCAAGUCAGACGUGAAAUUCCAGGGCUCAACCCUGGAACUGCGUUUGAAACUGUUCUUCUUGAGUGAGGGAGAGGCAGGCGGAAUUCCGUGUGUAGCGGUGAAAUGCGUAGAUAUACGGAGGAACACCAGUGGCGAAGGCGGCCUGCUGGACAGUAACUGACGCUGAGGCGCGAAAGCGUGGGGAGCAAACAGGAUUAGAUACCCGGGUAGUC